GUGGGGAAUAUUGGACAAUGGGCGAAAGCCUGAUCCAGCCAUGCCGCGUGUGUGAAGAAGGUCUUCGGAUUGUAAAGCACUUUAAGUUGGGAGGAAGGGCAGUAAGUUAAUACCUUGCUGUUUUGACGUUACCGACAGAAUAAGCACCGGCUAACUUCGUGCCAGCAGCCGCGGUAAUACGAAGGGUGCAAGCGUUAAUCGGAAUUACUGGGCGUAAAGCGCGCGUAGGCGGUUUUGUAAGUUGGAGGUGGAAUCCCCGGGCUCAACCUGGGAACAGCCUCCAAAACUGCAUGACUAGAGUACGGUAGAGGGUAGUGGAAUUUCCUGUGUAGCGGUGAAAUGCGUAGAUAUAGGAAGGAACACCAGUGGCGAAGGCGACUACCUGGACUGAUACUGACACUGAGGUGCGAAAGCGUGGGGAGCAAACAGGAUUAGAUACCCCAGUAGUCC
rnacentral:rRNA from 1 species